CCGCCCACGGGGACGACGCGGGCGGAGACAGGCCCGGGCAGGCGCGGCUUCCCCGCGGCUUCCCGCCCGCGCCCUCGCCCUCGCCCUCGCCCUUGCCCGCCGCCGCCGCCACCGCCGCCCCGGUUCCCCACUGACGCCCGCGGCCCGCGAGCCUCGCGGACGUGACGCCGCGGGCGGAAGUGACGUUUUCCCGCGGUUGGCCCGGGCGCUCGGUUGCCGGGCGCGUCCGGUUUUCCUCGGGGGACGUUCCCAUUAUUUUUGUAACGGGAGUCGGGUGAGGACGGGGCGUGCCCGGCGUGCGCGCGCGCCCGCCCGCCUCCCCGCGCGCCUCCCUCGGCUGCUCGCGCCGGCCCGCGCUGCGCGUCAUGCCGCCCAAAGCCCCGCGCAGAGCCGCGGCCGCCGAGCCCCCGCCACCGCCGCCGCCGCCGCCUCGGGAGGACGACCCCGCGCAGGACAGCGGCCCCGAAGAGCUGCCCCUGGCCAGGCUUGAGUUUGAAGAAAUUGAAGAACCCGAAUUUAUUGCAUUAUGUCAAAAGUUAAAGGUACCCGAUCAUGUCAGAGAAAGAGCUUGGCUAACUUGGGAGAAAGUUUCAUCCGUGGAUGGAAUCCUGGAAGGAUAUAUUCAAAAGAAGAAGGAACUCUGGGGCAUCUGCAUCUUUAUCGCAGCAGUUGAUCUAGAUGAGAUGCCAUUCACUUUUACUGAGCUACAGAAAAGCAUAGAAACCAGUGUCUAUAAAUUCUUUGACUUAUUAAAAGAAAUCGAUACCAGUACCAAGGUUGAUAAUGCUAUGUCAAGACUAUUGAAGAAGUAUAAUGUGUUAUGUGCACUCUACAGCAAAUUAGAACGGACGUGUGAACUUAUAUAUUUGACACAACCCAGCAGUGCGUUAUCUACUGAAAUAAAUUCUAUGUUGGUGCUAAAAAUUUCUUGGAUCACUUUUUUACUAGCUAAAGGAGAAGUAUUACAGAUGGAAGAUGACCUGGUAAUCUCAUUUCAGCUAAUGUUGUGUGUAGUUGACUAUUUUAUUAAGUUCUCACCUCCUGCACUACUCAGAGAGCCAUACAAAACAGCUGCAAUCCCCAUUAAUGGUUCACCUCGAACACCCAGAAGAGGUCAGAACAGGAGCGCUCGGAUAGCAAAACAACUAGAAAAUGAUACGAGGAUUAUCGAGGUUCUCUGUAAAGAACACGAGUGUAAUAUAGAUGAGGUGAAAAAUGUUUAUUUCAAAAAUUUUAUCCCUUUUAUAAAUUCACUUGGAAUUGUAUCAUCUAAUGGACUUCCAGAGGUUGAAAGUCUUUCUAAACGCUAUGAAGAAGUUUAUCUUAAAAACAAAGAUUUAGAUGCAAGACUGUUUUUGGAUCAUGAUAAAACACUUCAGACUGAUCCUAUAGACAGUUUUGAAACAGAGAGAACGCCACGAAAAAACAACCCUGAUGAAGAGGCAAACGUGGUUACUCCACACACUCCAGUUAGGACUGUUAUGAAUACUAUUCAACAAUUAAUGGUGAUUUUAAAUUCUGCAAGUGAUCAGCCAUCAGAAAAUCUGAUUUCCUACUUCAAUAAUUGCACAGUGAAUCCAAAAGAAAAUAUCCUAAAGAGAGUAAAGGAUGUUGGGCACAUCUUUAAAGAGAAGUUUGCUAACGCUGUGGGCCAGGGCUGUGUUGACAUCGGAGUACAGCGAUAUAAACUUGGAGUCCGAUUGUAUUACCGUGUGAUGGAAUCCAUGCUUAAAUCAGAAGAAGAACGUUUGUCCAUUCAGAAUUUUAGCAAACUCCUAAAUGACAACAUCUUUCAUAUGUCUUUACUGGCCUGUGCUCUUGAAGUUGUAAUGGCUACGUAUAGCAGAAGUACAUUGCAGCAUCUUGAUUCUGGAACAGAUUUGUCCUUCCCGUGGAUUCUGAACGUACUUAAUUUAAAAGCCUUUGAUUUUUACAAAGUGAUUGAAAGUUUUAUCAAAGUGGAAGCCAACUUGACAAGAGAAAUGAUAAAACAUUUAGAAAGAUGUGAGCAUCGAAUCAUGGAAUCCCUUGCAUGGCUUUCAGAUUCACCUUUAUUUGAUCUCAUUAAGCAGUCCAAGGAUGGAGAAGGACCUGAUAACCUUGAACCUGCUUGUCCUCUCAGCCUGCCUCUCCAGGGUAACCAUACUGCAGCAGAUAUGUAUCUUUCUCCUCUAAGAUCUCCAAAGAAAAGAACUUCCACUACACGUGUAAAUUCUGCUGCAAAUACAGAGACACAAGCAGCCUCAGCCUUCCAUACUCAGAAGCCAUUGAAAUCUACCUCCCUUGCCCUGUUUUACAAAAAAGUGUACCGUCUAGCAUAUCUCCGACUAAAUACACUCUGUGCACGCCUUCUGUCUGACCACCCAGAGCUAGAGCACAUCAUCUGGACUCUGUUUCAGCAUACAUUGCAAAAUGAGUAUGAGCUCAUGAGAGACCGACAUUUGGACCAGAUUAUGAUGUGCUCUAUGUAUGGCAUCUGCAAGGUGAAGAACAUCGACCUCAAGUUCAAAAUCAUCGUCACUGCCUACAAGGAUCUUCCUCACGCUGCCCAGGAGACCUUUAAACGUGUUUUGAUCAGAGAAGAGGAGUUUGAUUCCAUUAUAGUAUUCUAUAACUCCGUUUUCAUGCAGAGACUAAAAACAAAUAUUUUACAGUAUGCCUCCACCAGGCCUCCUACCUUGUCACCAAUACCUCACAUUCCUCGAAGCCCUUACAAGUUUUCUAGUUCACCCUUACGGAUUCCUGGAGGUAACAUCUAUAUAUCACCCCUAAAGAGUCCUUAUAAAAUUUCAGAAGGUCUGCCAACACCCACAAAAAUGACUCCGAGAUCAAGAAUCUUGGUCUCAAUUGGUGAAUCAUUUGGGACAUCUGAAAAGUUCCAGAAAAUAAACCAGAUGGUGUGUAAUAGUGACAGAGUGCUCAAAAGAAGUGCUGAAGGCGGCAACCCCCCCAAACCACUGAAAAAGCUGCGCUUUGACAUCGAGGGAGCCGAUGAAGCAGAUGGGAGUAAACAUCUCCCAGCGGAGUCCAAAUUCCAACAGAAACUGGCAGAAAUGACUUCCACUCGAACACGAAUGCAAAAGCAGAGAAUGAAUGAGAGCAAGGAUGUCUCAAACAAGGAGGAAAAGUGAGGACCUCAGGGCCCUGGACCCUCAGCCCUGGGGACACCAGACUCCUGGCUCAUGGUUGUGACUAGUUCCCAGGUUCUGCUCAUGUUAGAGAUAUAAAAUGUGCAGAUUCCUCUCUUACAGCUCGAGCGGCCUUCUCAGUCGAACCGUUCACGUUGCGAGCUGCUGGCGGCCGCAACAUUUUGGCGCCGGAACUGGGACCUGAAGAAUGGCAGAGAGAUGCUAAGAGGAACGCUGCAUUGGAGCUCCACAGGAAAGGAUCUUCGUAUCGGACAUCGGAGCAACGGACAGGUACACAUGCUAGCGCUAGCUUAAAAUUUCAGUUUUGUAAAGUGUUGCUAAGGAUGCGGUAGGAUACGAAUUAAGCUUGAAUCAGUGCUAACCCAACGCUGGUUCUGCUUGGGUCAGCAGCGUGUUAAUCGGAACUAGAAACGGAAACAGGCAGGUUAGCCGCAGCUUUUUAGGAAGCUGCUUAGGUGGAAGAAGAAAGGGUUUAAAGUCAUGGAUCAGGCGGUUGCCAAUAGUUUUCAGGAGUUGUUUCAGGCCAGAGGAGUAAGGCUCGAAGUACAAUUAGUAAAAAAUUUUUUAGGUAAGAUAGAUAGCUGUUGCCCAUGGUUCAAGGAAGAAGAAACACUAGAUUGUGGAACCUGGGAGAAAGUUGGUGAGGCCUUAAAAAUCACUCAGGCAGAUAAUUUUACCCUAGGCCUCUGGGCGCUCGUAAAUGAUGCAAUAAAAGAUGCCACUUCCCCAGGGCUAAGUUGCCCCCAGGCGGAGCUUGUGGUAUCUCAGGAGGAGUGCCUGUCAGAGAGGGCCUCCUCAGAAAAAGAUCUUCUUAACUCAAAAAUUGAUAAAUGUGGAAACUCGGAUGAAAAACUGAUUUUUAACAAAAAUCACUCAGAUAGAGGAGCUGCCCAUUACCUUAAUGAGAAUUGGUCCUCUUGUGAAUCUCCCGCUCCACCUGUAGUCCCCACUUCGGGAGGUGCCACUCAUAGGGACACACGACUAAGCGAGUUAGAGUUUGAGAUUAAGCUUCAGAGGCUGACUAAUGAGCUUCGGGAACUAAAAAAGAUGUCAGAAGCGGAGAAGAGUAACUCUUCUGUAGUUCACCAGGUGCCGCUAGAAAAGGUUGUGAGUCAGGCUCGUGGGAAAGGACAGAAUAUGUCUAAUACGCUAGCCUUUCCGGUGGUCGAGGUAGUUGAUCAACAAGAUACUAGGGGCAGACAUUACCAGACCUUAGAUUUCAAGUUGAUAAAAGAGUUAAAGGCGGCUGUUGUGCAAUAUGGCCCUUCAGCCCCGUUCACUCAAGCAUUACUGGACACAGUUGUGGAGUCACACUUAACCCCUUUAGAUUGGAAGACUCUUUCUAAGGCUACCCUGUCAGGAGGAGAUUUUUUGCUUUGGGAUUCUGAAUGGCGAGACGCCAGUAAAAAAACUGCUGCUUCUAACGCUCAGGCUGGUAACUCAGACUGGGAUAGCAACAUGCUUUUAGGAGAGGGCCCUUAUGAGGGACAGACAAAUCAGAUUGAUUUUCCCGUUGCAGUGUACGCGCAAAUUGCGACGGCCGCACGCCGUGCUUGGGGAAGGUUGCCAGUCAAAGGAGAGAUUGGUGGAAGUUUAGCUAGCAUUCGGCAGAGUUCUGAUGAACCAUAUCAGGAUUUUGUGGACAGGCUUUUGAUUUCAGCUAGUAGAAUUCUUGGAAGUCCGGACACGGGAAGUCCUUUCGUUAUGCAAUUGGCUUAUGAG